AGUGGCAUCAUUGCACUGUGACUGUGCAGGUCCCAAACAGUAUGGACAUGAAUGUCCUCAAGCUGCAUGUUAGCAGGGCUUCUAAUUCCAUCUGCAAGUGAUAGUGUGUGGAGCUUAGUUGCACAGAGCGCAUGUUACUGGAGGAGAUAUGGGUCUGUGUCAUCCUGCAUGGGAAUUAUCCUAAAAACAAAGUGAUCAGUGACUGCUCAGGACUGUGGAAAGGUCAUUUGGAGCAGUGGGAAAAGGUCUGGCAGAGGAAUAAGAAGAUACAGGUCUUAGAACAAGCGCUGGUACUUCAACCAAGUCAUUUAACAUCUGGGGCCUUGGUUUAUUUAUCCUCCCAGAAGAUAAAGCAAUACCUGCCCUGUCUUCCUAACCUUGGAGGGGUCAAAAAAGUGAUAGGUAUGAAAGCAUUUUGUAAACUGUAGUGCAAGCAUACGGCGGGGGAGUGAACCAUACUUUCACUAGCGACUUGAAUGAGGUGAUAAAGAAAAGGCUCAGAACUUCAGAAAAUGCAAGAGGGGCUUGACCCUGGAUUGGGAGAGGAAAGCAAUGGUGGGAUCAAUACCUUGGAGGGCCAAGGACUGAGGGGUUAAGGGUCCAUGAGGACAGACCUGGAUCAUCAGGAAGCUGAGUGUGGAUUCCAAGAGUCUCAAGGUUAGAGAAGUCGCCUAGUCCACCUCCCCUCUCUGCUUCUCACAGAAGGGUCUGCUGAACACUCUGGUGACAAGGUUAGAGAAGUCGCUUAGUCCACCUCCCCUCUCUGCUUCUCACAGAAGGGUCUGCUGAACACUCUGGUGACAGAGAACUCACCCAACAUGUUCCAUGGCAGAGGCUCUUCAUUAGAUCAAGGUGACAUCUGUUUUACUGGAGCUUCCAACCACGUGUCCCAAUACUGCUCUUAGUCACAUGCAUCCAGGUCCUCUCUCUCAGGACAGCACUUUGAAUAAAUGAGGACAGCUCCCAUCCCCCUUUCUCCCAGUUGACUUUCCAGAUACAUCUCAUAUUGUUGUUAGCUUUCCACCAUUUUUCCUCUUCACUUCCUGGGCCUACUACACUGUGUGUCCUCCACUUGGUCUCCUCCUGAAAGCAACACUGUGCACAAUGUUCCUGGGGGCAGACUUAUCAAACCAAGUGGACCACUUCCUUCAUCUUAGGUGUCAUAGCUCCAUCAAUGCAUCCUCAAAUUACAUUGAUUUUUCUGCACUUCACCCUACAGGUUCCCAUUUAAUGUUGCAUUGGCUAGGACAUUACUCAUUUACACACAGGCUCUGCUGAGCGCCACUUUUGCCAAGACUCUGACCUCCGUUGUUUCAUUUAAAGAUGUAAGAGCAGGGCCUCACAGUCCUUCCUAAGGAAUUUUACUUUGUGGCUGGGUGCGGUGGCUCACACCUGUAAUUCCAGCACUUUGGGAGGCCAAGUCAGGUGGAUGACUUGAGGUCAGGAGUUCGAGACCAGCCUGCCCAUCAUGAUGAAACCCCACCUCUACUAAAAAUACAAAAAUUAGCCAGGUGUGGUGGCAAGCGCCUAUAUCCCAGCUACUCGGUAGGUUGAGGCAGGAGAAUCGCUUGAGCCCGGGAGGCAGAGGUUGCAGUGAGCCGAGAUCACUGCACUCCAGCCUGUGCAACAGAGUGAGAUCCAUCUCAAAAAAACAAACAACAAAAAAAAAACCAAAAACAAAACAAAACAAUAACAAAACCCAGAAAUUUUACUUUGCUACAUUCAGCCCACAAUUUUUAGCAACCCAGAUCUUUCUGGUUCCUGGCUGUAUCUUCUCAGUGUGUUUCUUCUUCCUCCCAGCUUCCUGACCCCUGCAAAUAGGGCUGUAAAGAGGCUCUCUGAUGCUGCACCCCCUCCCUCACUGCCACCGUGCAAAUCACAGAGGACCCCUACCAGGCCAGACUGGCUCACCUGCUUGAUGAAUGCACCAGCCCACUCUCCCAUCCCGGAAGGCAUGUCGGGGAUAAUGAUGUGGAACAUACUUGUUUUCUAUUCAGCUACGAAAGCAGGGUAUUAUCAAAUUUUAAAAGGCAUCGGCCAGGCACCGUGGCGCAUGCCUGUAAUCCCAGGCACUUUGGGAGACCGAAGUGGGUGGAUCACUUGAGCCCAGGAGUUCAAGACCAGCCUGGGCAACAUGGCAAAACCCCGUCCCCUCUACAAAACACACAAAAAUUAGCCGGGGAUGGUGGCACAGGCCUGUAGUCUCAGUUUCUCGGGAAGUUGAAGUGGAAGGAUCACUUGAGCCCAGGAGGUGGAGGUUGCAGUGAGCUGAAAUUCCACCACUGCACUCGGCCUGGCAGCCUGGGCAACAGAGAGAGACCCUGCCUCAAAAAAAUAAAUAAAUAAAUAAAAGGAAUUGAGAAAAGAAAGAGAGGAUUUUGACAAAAAAUUAUCAAUAGUAACAGUGGCGUCUGUGUAACAGGACUAUAGGUUUGGCUUUUUAUUUAUUUAUUUAUUUAUUUAUUUUUUUUUGAUGGAAUCUUGCUCUGUCACCCAGGCUGGAGUGCAGUGGUGCGAUCUCGGCUCACUGCAACCUCUGCCUCCCGGUUCAAGUGAUUCUCCUGUCUCAGCCUCCCAAGUAGCUGGGACUACAGGGGCCCGCCACCACGCUCGGCUAAUUUUUCGUAUUUUUAGUAGAGACGGGGUUUCACCGUGUUAGCCAGGAUGGUCUCGAUCUCCUGACUUCCUGAUCCGCCUGCCUCGGCCUCCCAAAGUGCUGGGAUUACAGGCGUGAGCCACCGCGCCUGACCCCUUCACGCGUCUUUACAUGCUUCAUCCAACCAAUAGUUCAUGGAGGAGGUCUUAGGUGUGUGUUUCCAAAUUUCUUUGGAAAACUAGAAAAAAUAAAGCGAAAAAUAAAAUGAAAAUGAAUAAAGA
rnacentral:antisense_RNA from 1 species